AGGGCAGAUACGACUCUUGGU
rnacentral:miRNA from 1 species